rnacentral:rRNA from 1 species
AUUGAACGCUGGCGGCAUGCUUUACACAUGCAAGUCGAACGGCAGCGCGGGCUUCGGCCUGGCGGCGAGUGGCGAACGGGUGAGUAAUACAUCGGAACGUGCCCAGUAGUGGGGGAUAGCUCGGCGAAAGCCGGAUUAAUACCACAUACGACCAGAGGGUGAAAGCGGGGGAUCUUCGGACCUCGCGCGUUUUGAUCGGCCGAUGGCAGAUUAGCUAGUUGGUAGGGUAAAGGCCUACCGAGGCGGCGAUCUGUAGCUGGUCCGAGAGGACGACCAGCCACACUGGAACUGAGACACGGCCCAGACUCCUACGGGAGGCAGCAGUGGGGAAUUUUGGACAAUGGGCGAAAGCCUGAUCCAGCAAUGCCGCGUGUGUGAUGAAGGCCUUCGGGUUGUAAAGCACUUUUGGCGGGAACGAAAAGGACUGUGCAAAUACCACGGUUCGAUGACGGUACCCGCAGAAUAAGCACCGGCUAACUACGUG